rnacentral:rRNA from 1 species
GACGAACGCUGGCGGCGUGCCUAAUACAUGCAAGUCGAGCGAAUGGAUUAAGAGCUUGCUCUUAUGAAGUUAGCGGCGGACGGGUGAGUAACACGUGGGCAACCUGCCCAUAAGACUGGGAUAACUCCGGGAAACCGGGGCUAAUACCGGAUAACAUUUUGAACCGCAUGGUUCGAAAUUGAAAGGCGGCUUCGGCUGUCACUUAUGGAUGGACCCGCGUCGCAUUAGCUAGUUGGUGAGGUAACGGCUCACCAAGGCAACGAUGCGUAGCCGACCUGAGAGGGGGUUCGGCCACACUGGGACUGAGACACGGCCCAGACUCCUACGGGAGGCAGCAGUAGGGAAUCUUCCGCAAUGGACGAAAGUCUGACGGAGCAACGCCGCGUGAGUGAUGAAGGCUUUCGGGUCGUAAAACUCUGUUGUUAGGGAAGAACAAGUGCUAGUUGAAUAAGCUGGCACCUUGACGGUACCUAACCAGAAAGCCACGGCUAACUACGAGCCAGCCGCCGCAGUAA